rnacentral:rRNA from 1 species
UACGUAGGGGGCAAGCGUUGUCCGGAUUUAUUGGGCGUAAAGAGCGUGUAGGCGGCCAGACAGGUCCGUUGUGAAAACUCGAGGCUCAACCUCGAGAUGUCGAUGGAAACCGUCUGGCUAGAGUCCGGAAGAGGAGUGUGGAAUUCCUGGUGUAGCGGUGAAAUGCGCAGAUAUCAGGAGGAACACCGGUGGCGAAGGCGCCACUCUGGGCCGGUACUGACGCUGAGGAGCGAAAGCGUGGGUAGCAAACAGG